AUACAUGUAUUUAUCAAGACUCAUACAUGCAAUGCUCACAUCUAUAUCACAUUCCCAAGGAAAAGGCUAUCAUUACAAAUGGUAAAGAUAUCAAAGGCAAAAACAUUGGAAAUGCAUUGUGUAUAACUCUUAGAAGCUAACCUGGAAAUCCCUCACUAUGGUGGUUAAAGGAUGGGCCAUGGCUACAUACCAGGGUGAAACACCUCAACCUACGAUGUAUGUGUAGCAUGUAUCUGUCUCAGUAAAGAUCACAUAUUGAGGCUGUAUGGAAGGGACAGCAGGCCUGCAAUUUGAAGCCUGUAUGAAAGGGAAAGCAGUUCUAAGACUGAGGUCCAUACAGACGGGGAAAGCACCUCACAGAAUGAGGCUUCUACAGAACAGCUGGUCCACAGAUCGAGACCCCUUCAGAAUGAAUUCUGAGCUAAAACUGAUUGAUUUUUCAUAUGUUGCACAACUGUGAAUAAAAGAUUAAAAAUAUGUACAAACAG